GGGCACGUGGUCUAGUGGUAUGAUUCACCCUUAGGGUGGGUGCGGUCCCCGGUUCGAUUCCGGGCUUGCCCC